rnacentral:miRNA from 1 species
UACUGAGAAUGGGUAGCAGUCA